CGGAAAAUAAUAAUCUGUCUGUCGCUAAAGGCCACCUAUAGCGACAGAAUCGUCGCUAUAGGUGUUCUUCAUGUUCAUACUUAAACCCAGAUCUUCAUAGGCAUUUGCCGAGUAGCCAUGUUUGACCCACUUUAAUUCUCUGUGUAUUGUAUUUCUCGGAAUUACAAAAGCUAGUUUUUGUAAACAAAGUUCAAGACUACAAGAUACAACAAUCAACAUGGACAAAUCACAUAACAUCAAACAGAUAUAAUCGCCCAAACUUACUGUCAGAGGCUGUUCUUCAUUUCUGGGUUUCCCAGAAUUGAAGAACAGACCGACUGACCACUUUUGAUCGCCAGCAACUUGCAAUAUAUUAACUGUUUUUGAGACCUAAGA
rnacentral:lncRNA from 1 species